CAGAGGUUAGUUUAAAUAAAAAUUUUAAUUUUGGAGAUUAAGGAUGAUAUAAAAUUUAUCUUCUCUGA
rnacentral:tRNA from 1 species